rnacentral:rRNA from 1 species
CAUCCACAGACCCCCGCCGUCGUGUCAAAACAAGAAGAGUCAAAAGAAAACACAAAUCUCCUUUUUCUCUGCCCGCAACCUCCCCGUCGCCGCCGCCGCCGCCGCUCACCCGAGACCUCCCCGUCGCCGCCGAUCUCCCGGAGCCACCGCACCUCCGCUCGUAUCAUCCUCCUCCGCCCCUCCUCGCCGGAGACAACAUGUCGACGCUUGCCGCGGCGAGGGCCGACAACUUCUACUACCCGCCCGAAUGGAGCCCGAAGAAGGGUGGGCUGAACAAGUUCCACGGCCAACAUGCCCUCAGGGAGCGGGCGAGGAAGCUGGACCAGGGCAUCCUGAUCAUAAGAUUCGAGAUGCCUUUCAAUGUCUGGUGUGGUGGAUGCAGUUCCAUGAUAGGGAAGGGAGUAAGGUUUAAUGCUGAAAAGAAACAAGUUGGAAAUUAUUACUCUACCAAGAUAUGGAGCUUCAGUAUGAAAUCACCGUGUUGCCAGCAUGAGAUAGUCAUACAUACAGACCCGAAGAAUACUGAAUAUGUUAUAGUCAGUGGAGCUCAGCGUAAGACUGAAGAUUUUGAUGUUGAAGAUGCAGAGACGCUCCUGCUGCCCGCUGAUGAAGAAAGAGACAAGCUUGCGGAUCCUAUGUAUAAGCUCGAACACCAGGGAGAGGAUAUUCGGAAGAAGAAAGAAGAGGAACCUGUUUUAGUUCGGCUUCAACGCCUCUCUGAUAGCCGUCAUUCGGAUGAUUAUUCCCUGAACAGAACCCUCCGCGACCGCCUUAGGGUCAUCCAGUGAAUUCCUUUGUAUAAUAUUUCAUCAGUAAGUUGUUUAACUGUCAGGAUUCUUAUCCACUUGUUGUCCUAUUAUUUAUGUAGAGCCAAAAGAAGAGAGUUGCUGAAGAGAAGAAAUCAGCGAGGAAGAUGGGACUCGGAGUACGCCUUCUGCCACCCUCCGCAGAGGAUGCGGCCGCAGCAGCUCGUGUGAGGUUCGCCUCAAAUUUUGAGAAGAACAGAAAAGACAAGAGAGCAGCGAUCAAGGCCUCCUCCAUCUUCCCGGAGCCAUCAGGCUCAGCUUCGAAAGACAAGCUAGACCUCGUGCUGAGAAGGCGGAAUAUAAAAGCCAGUGCAGCGUCGGCGCUGAUGGCGGGCAGGGCAAAGCCGUCGUCAUGGUCGCGGCAGAGCGCCGGUUCUGGAAGUGCAAGGACUGCUGUGCCUAUAUUGGCAAGGCGCAAGUAGAGCCACCCCGAUUUGUGCUCGCGCAACCAAAGCAAGAAUCUUUGUGAUCUUGUCCAGUCUGCUGCUCAGUAAAACCCAUGUGUACGUGUAUCUUGUGUAGUACCUUCGUUGCUCUAGCCUUCUACUGUAACCUCGGUGUGAUGUCCUGCUGUCGCUGCUGAGGCUGUGACACAUGUCAUGAGAAACUGUUUUUGCCCAAGAUAGCCAUUGAAUUCAGUUGGAGGGGCAAACGAUUAUCUUGGUCGGCUGAAGUGUCUACAUUUAUAGAAAUCAGCGAAGUUUUUUCUCGUAUAAAAGGCAAGUUUGAACUUGUGUUUUUGUGUAGCUAGCAUGGGCUAAACUUUCGG